UACAGAGGUCUCAAGCGUUGUUCGGAUUCAUUGGGCGUAAAGGGUGCGUAGGCGGCGCGGUAAGUCGGGUGUGAAAUCUCGGAGCUUAACUCCGAAACUGCAUUCGAUACUGCCGUGCUUGAGGACUGGAGAGGAGACUGGAAUUUACGGUGUAGCGGUGAAAUGCGUAGAUAUCGUAAGGAAGACCAGUGGCGAAGGCGGGUCUCUGGACAGUUCCUGACGCUGAUGCACGAAGGCCAGGGGGAGCAAACGGGG
rnacentral:rRNA from 1 species